CUAGGAGUUAUGUGUACAAAAAAAUAUUUGAAGCUGGGAAGUACCAACAAUGAUAACAAUAUCCAGAUGAAGAUCUGCAGGAAAGGCAAUGAUAUAAAGCAUUAUUUGAAAAGGAAGGAUUUGAAGAAUGUGAAAUGAAGAAAAUCUCCCCCUUGCACAAUAUGUGAAUACCAAUUCUGCAGGCAGGUAGUUUUAAUAAAAACCAUUUGAAUUCAAGCACAGGUAAGAGACUGAUUCUCUGUAAUUUGAAUUAGAAUAAAAAUGAUGCAUGCGACUGAAACUUAAAUAAUUUGAAAGAAUUAAGGAAAAUUAUAUCUGGAAUACUAAAGCCUAGACAAAAACUGAAAAAAAAUUGGCAGCUUCUCUGUGGUCUGUUAAUGGUAGAAAUAACUGGUUUUCCCUGCUCCAUGUGCUUUUGAACCCAAAAUAUCUUCAAGUGAUUACAGUUGUGUUAUGUGCCAUGAGAUGCUGAGGGCAUGCUUAAUGCUGUAGCACUGGGCACCCCAAAAAUUCUGGCAUUGUGGCUUUGCAUCCUUCUCCCCCAAAUUUUAAGCUAAUUGUGGUAUGUGUAGAAUUAAUGGGAAAUGUGGUUUCAUUCCAUGUUCAGCCUGAUGGCUUUCAAAUCUUUAUCUCCUAGCAUGCCCAAAUCAGUAGACUUAUCAGCUUUUUUUUGUCGCAAGGACUGGAAAGAUAUUUGCCAUUUUCCUUAUUGCAUCGGGUCACCAUGUAACAGGAAUAGGUGGUAUAUGGAACAGAAGGAAAAGGCAAACAAAAAGAAGGAAAACAUUACUUAGUGGAGAGAGCACAUACUGAGAAGCAAGUCCUGGAGAACUUGGAGUCUGGUACAGAGACAGUGCAUUUUAAUUGAAAUGGUUGUUUUAUUAAAGAUUAAGUCCAAGCACGCCCCAACCAAACAAAACCAGCCCAGUGGUAAUCUGAAAAUCCUGCUUUAAUCUUUGUUUUAUCUCAGUUUGACUAACACUUCUCUUCCUGGUCUGUUCAAUUUCUUCUCAGCCUUUUGGUUGUCAAAAUACAGAGAUGACAAAUGACUUCUUUGCAGAAAGCCGGCAGAAAAUCUGUGUAGGGCUGGUGCAUCACGCAACAUGUGCGAACCGUGGAGAAUGUUAAUGGCUCUGUCACCCUCUCAGUUGGGAAAACACUUGUCAGAGGGAGAGGCUGAACAGUGGGGGUGCUGGAACAGACUGCAGCAAGAUUUCACAUAUGGUGCCACUCCACCUAUCUACUGGCCAUUCUUGCUGAUGUCUCUCUUAUGCUUUUCAAUCAGCAGUGUGCAGGUUCCCUAAUUUCAUCUGCUGACACUUCCUUUCAUCGAGGCUCUUGAGCCACUUUCCAUGCCAGUUCUAUUUUAGGAUGAAUGAAGCCUGCUCAUCCUGCUAAGAGAAGUUAACUAUGCAGAACUUCUGUAUCCGAAGUUCACUGUUCUCCUAGAUGUAAACACUUCAACUAUUGUCGUUCUUGAUCUUGGCAGAGGAGAUAUCUGCACACUGGAACCUAGAUGGGCUUAAGGAUACGUACCCCUCCUGAGUGCUACCUCCCCUGAUGCUGCAGAAAGAUACAAGGUCUUUCCUGUCUGUAAAAAACAGUGCUCUCCUGCCUAUGUUUAGAACUGGGAAAAGGAUGGCUGCCUAAAGAUGACAUCAUUCCUUAGUCCUCCAAGGAAAGUGAUGUGGAGAUCCAUCAAAGACCUGGCAGUUGAGCUCUACCUGAAGAAAUCUUCACUUGCUGCCCUGUGUGCCCUUUGAGCUAAAGGGCCGAGGCGACUCUUCCCAGGAAGGAUCAUGCAGACACUGAUUUUUGGAAAACUCUUGAGGAAGAGGGGAAAGGAUUCCAUUCUAUGGAUUGACUUAUGGUAAAGAAUGGAUGCUGGAAUGAUUACAAUAGUUCUUUUCAUAAAGUUGAUAUUAAGGAUUUUAAUAUACGGCACUGGU